rnacentral:tRNA from 1 species
AGUUCAGUUGGUUAGAAUGCCAGCCUGUCACGCUGGAGGUCGAGGGUUCGAACCCCUUC